ACGCGUUCGCGUGACUGGCGAGGAAGGUGGAGCACCACCGUGGAGCGCGAAACGCAGCCGCCGCUCGCCUGGGCACCCUUU
rnacentral:ncRNA from 2 species